rnacentral:lncRNA from 1 species
CUAGCGUUUUCGAUAAAAUGGUGGAAAUCCUGGGCCACAUCGAAGUUCCAGAGUGCGAAGGUUGGAACCGGAGACCCCUUAGAUGAAAAAUGAAUUAAAAAAAAAAAUCAGGUGAUCCAUGAAUCGAUUUUCAGCAUUUUAGAUUUCACUAGGCGCCUGUUUCUAGGACAACGGUCUAGGUGCUCAAAAUGUUUUUUUUAAGCACUUUUUGUUAGGCAGCAAGUCACUGGCCUAGGAAGCCAUACUCAGCAGCGCGUGUCAUCUUCUCUUCCAG